rnacentral:lncRNA from 1 species
ACCCGGCGGCGCGGCGUGGGUCGGGAGCGGGCGCCUGGGACUACUUCUCGUUUGAAAGUUUUCAGAGGCCAAAAGUUUGAGCCGGGGCUGCGGAAGGAUCCGGCUCUGGCGGUUGCCGCGCUCGGCGACAACUGGCGACUGAAAUUUGCAUGGCCCCGUGGCCGCGGCUUUAGGCGUCCAGAGGAUCGAUCGCCGCCAGACAUCCCUGGCCGUGAUUGCCCGAGCACUUGACCGCGAGGGAUGGGGGCGCCGCGGCCUCUGGGCAGGGGACUCCGGGCGCCCCGAGGGAGCAGCCGGGACCAGUGCCUCGCGGACGGAUUGUGCCCCGCUCCCCCAAGGGGGACCCGCGUCGACACGCUCCUCGGUCACCGUCCUCCUCCUGCCCGGGCGCCGCCUGCCUAAGGUGGCCCCAGAAAGCACAAACGGGUCGGGCGGAUCUGCCGCUGGCGCCGGCGCAGCCCUUCCCACGUGCUCCUUCCGGCUGAUUUAUUUCUCCACCACGAUGCCAGGCACGGGCACCCUGUGCCAAGCCUGGUUAAGCGCCAGGAGUCCAAAAUGCCUGCCAUAGUCCCUGCGCAAAGUUCACGGCCUCGUGCCAGGGACAGACAGCGCCCCCUCCCCACCCCAACACAGGGUGGUGAGUGCGAUGGCAGAAGGCGCGUGUCCCGGCGCCCCUCCUGGAGUAGGAGGGCUAAGCCUGCCCUGCGGGGAGACCGAAAGGCUGGGAGGGACCUAGGACUGUGGGGGCCUGGGGGGAGGGCUGCAGAAACCCCAGAGCAUGGUGGCAGAGGCAGGCACAGAAAGCAGGACAAAUCUCACACCUGACCCCAGCAAGCCUUUCCUGGCACACCUCUUGCCAAAUGCUGAGCACUCUGGAAACAGCCAGUGCAGGCGGCCUGUCCCGCCCCUGUAGCUGCUGCUGGGAGCCUCCCUCGCCUGCGUCCUCCCAGAAUCUGGCCUCACUUCUGCAGGCCUGGGGUAACAUCUUGGGGUCAGCGCCCCAGGAGAGGAGGCGCCUGGAGGCAGCAGAGAUGUUUAUGUAACAGCAGCCAGGCAGCCUGGAGGAGCAGAUUUUCCAUAGAAGGAAGCGCGGGGCUGUGCAGCUCCCAGGCUGAGGACUCUGCCCACCACGACGUCCUCUGCUCCUGAGAAGAGAGUGGCCCAUUCGGUGUCCACCCGUCAGGCCACCCAGCAGCCAGGCACGCUCAUAAGCCCGCGUUACGGAUGGUGCGGCCGGGUGCACAGGCCCGAGGGAAGCACAGGCCUCGGCCUCCCAGCUCCCAACCCCUGCACCACCCACAGCCGGGAGUACCCCAUGGACAGCUGUGGCCGAGGAGAAGCCAGGGAUGAGGGGGAUGGGCCUCACCUCCCCACCAGCCUGGGAAGGGGGUAGGCCCCUGGCAAGUAGAGAAAUGGGGGUACCAUUGUCAGGGUGAGCUAAGGAGGCCCUGCUGACAUUGGCCCAACCAGGCCCCUCCUUUGCGGCUGCUGUGGGGACUUUCGAGAGCAGAGCACACCCCUAAGUGCGUGGAGAGGUAAGCACAGCUGGUGAGCACACGGGGACAGCGACGGAGCUCAUGGAGACCCAGGUGACCUUAAAACACCCCAGGGCCGGCUCCGGCCCCAGAGAGAUGUGGUCCGAGUAGAGGGGGGUCAGCAGUGACCUGGUGGGUGGGUGUAUUUGAGGGGUGCCUGUGUUGAAAGCUCUGCAGUAGAUUCUAAGGAGCAGCCAGGGCUGAGACUCCCGGUGCUGAGCCCAAGGCCCCUUUCCUUCCUGCAGGAGUUCAUCUUGGCUCUUGCAGCCCCCAUGACCCUGUGGCGCUGGGGGGCGGCUAGCAUGAUGCUCCCCAUUUUUCAGGAGGGAAGCUGAGGCUCAGAGACAUCAUGAGGAUGCCAGCUCAAGGCCCAGCCAGGCCUUGGUCCUCAGCUGCUGUCAUCCAGUAGGGUAAGUGGGACCCCCAGGAGGUGUUGGGGGACACUCCUCCCCUCCCCCACACUCACAGUCUGUUCACCGCCCAAGGCAGCAGGCUGGACUCGGUGCAGGGACCAUGGCUUGGCGUGGCCAGGUUGGAGUGGCCCCUGGGACUGAAAGCAGGGGGCGUGGGGGCUCUGAGGCGGGGCCGAGUGCGGGGACGUCCUGUGGCGGGUACCCUGCUGGGUCCUGGGUGGGGGCCACCACCAGGCAGCUGUGGGAACAUUCCAGACCACCUAGGAGUAGGGCCCCUUCACCGUUUGAAGCUGACUGUAAAAAACAUCUGACCUGUGUGCAAAGCUCAAGCCCAGAGGCCUCCAGGGUGUCCAGCCUCCAGGGUGCCUCCUACGCAGCCUCCACGUCCCCAUCCACUGCAGCCCCUGACCAUCGGGCACACCGUGGGGCCUUCGCUGGCCGCCGGGCCUCAGGUUCUGCUGCACCAAGUGAUUUUUAAAGCCCCAUCUGCCUUUCUCCACUUAUAAAGAACUUGGGACAUUUCCUCGAGGUUGGGCAUUUUUCCAGAUGUGGUUUCAGUGUCUCGCUUGCUACCUGGUCCCCUGUGCUGGGCGGUCCGCUGUGACGCACCUGGCAGUCCUUGCUCUAGGAUGGAUUCGGGCCGGCCCUUGUUCUGAGAACAGAGAACGGCCCUUGUUCUGAGGAGGCUGGGGUCUGGAAUCUGCUUCCUGGUCCCCUGCUGUGUGCAGACAGCCACCGUCACCCAGGCCCAGGGGUGCCUGCAGGUGCUGGGCAUCUCACCCUGGCCCCCACAGGGGCUCCCCAUGCCCUGCACCCCUCGGUCUGUGCCGGGGACUUCCCUGCUCUGCUGUUGCAGGCCUCGUCCUUUGCCGAGGGGGUCUCUUUCCCACGUGUCCCUGAGACUCCUCAGCCAUCCCAGAGGCUCUCGGCCGUCUGAGCACCCCUGACCAUGAAGCCUUCCUGGCCCACUCUCUGUGUGUGAGGCAGAGCCCAUCCCUACCAUUCCGACCCACACCAGAGGCUCCGGAAGGUUUGCUGACUGACCUGUGACUGCAAGAAGCUGAAGGAAUGUGGGCGCAGACCCGGCAGGGGCUUUUCUUGGUGCAAAGUCAACUGGCUGUCCAUGCAAGCCUGCUGCUGUGGCCAGCCCUCCCGCCAGGCGCCUGGGAGUCCCAGGGAGACGGCAGAGGCAGUGCCUGGCUGGGGCCCUGGUUGGCGUGCCGUUUGAGGGGUGCAUGCACUGGGAAGUUGGCCAGGCCUGCCCAAAUCAGGGGGCUUCCAGGAGGAGAGACAUCAGGAGGAUGGGCACAGAGGCGGCUUAGCACCAGGGCUGGCACCUCCAGAGGGACAAUGUUGGUGUCCCAAAGCACAGUCCUUUGCCCCGGAGGAGCCACCGGCAGAGCCAGGAGCCCCUGAAGGACUUUGACCACACCCCCCACCCCACCCCGACCUGUGCCUGGUGCCCCAAGUGGAGCCUGGGCCAUCCUUGACCUCACCGCUGGGGUGAUGGAGAAGCAGCCGCCCGAGGCGAGAGUUUCUCAGGUGGCCGGGGUUUCCCCCCAUUUGCUCCAGACACAUUUAAACAAGCUGAGAACUUCCGUCCCCCCAUACUCCCCCCCGCGGACCCCCACGGACCCCCUCUGCAAAUGAACAUGGGCCUGGAAAUCGGGGUGUGGGUUACAGAGAGCACGGGGAAUUCUGCUCGUGAAGUAACACGGAGCACGAACAUAAGCAGGUACCGCACAUCUGCGAGCUAUUCGGGUCUCCGGGGGAAGGCAAAAAGCCCCAACAAGCCUUAAGUAAGACCAGGACGCUUCUAUAGUUUUGCUUUGACAGCUAAGGAAAAAAUCUGCCAAAAACCAGAGGCGCUGCUGAGUGUUGGCGUGGGAAUGCUAGUUUAGUCAGAGCCUUGCUCUGGGCCAUUUAAAUAAAAACAGACAUGUUGGUGGCAAAUGCCAGUUGAACACGCAGGAGAGCGGUGCUUCUCGGGCCCGGAGAAGGGUUUGCAGCUGCACUCUCUCUUCCCUUUUCUCUUGGCCUCCCCAGCCUUCUUAUCAUCACGAUCAGCAUUUCACUGGUAAACAUUUGGUGCAAUAAUUUUCAAAAAUCAGCAAGAAAAGUCUGAGCGUUUCAUGUGGCUGUGACUGCGUGGCCCCAGCUGGAAGCAUGGAUUCCCAGCGCCUCCCAGAGCCUGUCUCCGAGGGAUACUCUAAUCACUUGAGGGCCUUUGCACGACAUAAAUCAGACCGACUAUCUCUAGAGUGGAGAGGGGGAUAAACUCACUUGUAGCAAGUGAAGGCCAGAGGCUGCCCUGGGAUGGCAUUGCCUGUUCCCAGGGGCUUGUGGUGGUGCAGCAGACAUGGGGACCCCUGGGCCCCUUCCCCUCCUUGCUGGGGAUGCCACACAGACCCACGUUCAGGGACCUGAAUUCAGAGCCUGCCCCAGGGGUGGCGAAUGUAUCUGGGACACUGAGGACCCCCCUACCGGGUGCAUCUCAUGGCCUUUUGGUCUUUUUUUUUGAGACGGAGUCUCACUUUGUUGCCCAGGCUGGAGUGUCAUGGGGCGAUCUCCGCUCACUACCACCUCCGCCUCCCGGGUUCAAGCAAUUCUCCUGUCUCAGCCUCCGAGUAGCUGGGAUUACAGGUAUGUGCCACCACGCCAGCUAAUUUUUCUAUUUUUAAUAGAGAUAGGGUUUCACCAUGUUGGUCAGGCUGGUCUUGAACUCCUAACCUCGGGUGAUCUGCCUGCCUUGGCCUCCCGAAGUGUUGGGAUUACAGGCGUGAGCCACUGCACCUGGCCAGCCUUUUGGUCUUGAAGGGUCUCUGGGAGGGCCUCAGAGAAUGUCUUGGUUUCCUCACUCUUGGGUUCCCAUCGACUGAGGUCAGGGCUGGGAAGGGGUGAUGAGCCCAGGACUCUUCUGGCGAGAGCGAGGGUCUAUGUUGGGGGGCUCCCUUCUGCCACCUCUCCUUGGUGACAUGGGGCUGGCUGGAGAGUCCCUCCGUGCCUGGGAGUUCCUCAGUGUAGGGGGGGAAGGGGGCCACUGCAAUGAAUCUGACACCAGCCCCCUCUCUCUCCGCCCUGCUGGCAGCCCUCACUCAUAUGGGGGGCGGGUCUGUCCUCCUUUCCCCAAAGCUGGGGGUCCUGAGUGUGGUUGGGGUAACGUCUGGUCCUCCUUAGAACAGUGGGGCUUGGAAUUCAUUCAAGGGAAGAAGAGUGAAGGAACGCAGAUGCCGACUGCAUGGAGCCCCCCCGGGCUGCAGCCCCUAGAGCCUGGGCGCUCUGUGAGCCAGAAAGAGAACGGCUGGGGAGAGGGCUGUGUGAGGCCCUGUUCUUCCAAGACCGCUGCGGAGGACCGACGGGGCCCAGGGACCCUGACUGAGGUGUGCCGAGCACAGCAGCUCUGGACAGGCCGCACCGGCCUCUCUGUCUGUCAUCUGUCCACCUGUUGGUGGGCAGGAACAGACCUGAUGCUGUAAGAAGAGGCCCCCAGGACCCUGCCUCUCCCAUUGGCUGAGCCUGGACUGUGGAGCCAGCCGCCCUCACACUGGGCACAGAUGACCGACUUAGGUUUUGAGAAGAUCCAAACAGCAGCAGGACGUGCACCUGGUAGGGGUAGGAGGGCCUCCCCUGGACUCAAAAGUGUAUUCGCGGAGCCCCUUCCCUGCAGCGUAGGCUCUGGGGGGACAGUGGCCAGGACGGAGGCCCUCGUGGAAAGGGGGAGAUGUGAACAGUGAGCCUCCUGCAUGCAGGCAUCUGGGAAAGAACAUUCCAGCCAAGUGGCUCUGAGCACACCCCGACCCUGGCCACCCUGGCCCUGUGGACCAACCCUGGGGCCCAGGAUUAAUGACAGCCAGUGCUCGCUGGUGCCUCCAGCCUGGGCCAGGCCUGUGGGCUGGUCCCUUCAAUGAUGGGGCAAGCUCAGCCCCGUCCACACCCUUCUCCUCCUCCUCUGUGCUUCCCUCCACCCCCAGGAGUGGGCUCCAGGUCUGUCACUCGUCACUCAUGGGGGGCUGUGGGUUGACUCGUAUUCCCCCAAAAGACUCGCUGUAUACCCCCAGAGCUUGUGAGCAGGACCUGUUUUGGAGAUGGGUCUUUGCAGAUGUCGUCGAGUUAAGACAAGGCCAUGCUGGAGUGGGGCCUGCCCUAAUCCAACGACUGGGGCCCUUGGCAGGAGAGGGAGGUUUGGGGAGAAGGCGCUGGGAAGACAGGCAGAGGCUGGAGACAGUGCAGCCCCAAGCUGGGAGCACAGGGGUUGCCGGCACCCAACAGAAGCUGGAGGAGGUGGGAAGGAUCCUCCCUAGAGCCUUGGGAGGGGGCCCGGUCCUGUGACACCCAGAUUUUGGAUUUCUGGCCUUCGGAACUGAGAGAGCACACAUUUCUGCGGUUUGAAGCCACCAAAUUUUUGGUAAUUUGUUCUGGCCAGGAAAUUAAUACCAGGGAUAAAGGUGUUUUAAUGCAGACAAAGACAGUUUUUGAAUUAACCAAGCUUUGCGCAAGGCUGCCGGGAUUGACUGGGGGAAGUGAGGGACUCAGCAGCUUCCCCGACGCUCGCCAGGCACCGGCCUCCAUACACGCUUGCUGGCGGUGGCUACGGCAGGUCGCUCUUCAGGUGAAACCACAUAAUGAGCAGCCUUAAGCCUGUCGAUUUACACAGCAGAGGCUGCCUGGCCUGGCGCUCUUCCUGGCUGGAGGACUCUGCCUUCCCCCUCUGCCUGCCUGUGGCCACUCCGGCUGCAGAGGAGACUGGCAGACGACGUUCUCAUCCCUGGUCGGGGCAAAAGUUCUGCUCAAAUAUGACAACGGUGAAACUCGGAAUAGCGACAGAGCCAACCCAUGAUUGAGGCAGGGCUGGAGGCUUUCUGGAAAACGCACGGAGAAACACGAGGGCCCAGCUGUGCCCUGGGCCGCCCCAUGAGUCCAGCCUUCUUCGUCCUAGUCCCUUCUCCAAAGAAAGGACAAAACCACUGAAAGGGUUCGUCUGGGUCACAAACGUCCCAAAUUGGCUUCCGCGUGGAAACUAAACAAGGGUAGGUCCCAGCCCCUGGGAUUCAGGUGAAACCCGAGGCCUGUCUGAGGUCACAGCGUCUUCCCGAGGACGUCAGCCCUGUUGGCUGUGUCUGGGGCCAGGCUGAGGCAUAGCGGGCCAGGAGGCCGAGCUUCCCAAAGGAGCUGCACUGUCUUUUCCUUAGAAUAUGAAAUCAAUGUCUGCCACCUUGAAUCCUCAUGGACAAGACUCCUUGGAAGCCAGCCUGUGUCAGGGCCAGCGUCCCCCAGGGCUGACACCUACACCCUCGCAUUCUCAGCGUGACUCGGGACAGUGGCAGAACCCGCUGGGUUCUCUCUACGGGAGUGCUUUUUUUUUUUCUUUUCUUUUUUUUUUUUUUUUUUUUUUUUGAGUCGGAGUUUCACUCUUGUUGCCCAGGCUGGAGUACAAUGGUGUGAUCUCGGCUCACUGCAACCUCCACCUCCUGGGUUCAAGCAGUUCUCCUGUCUCAGCCUCCCGAGUAGCUGGGAUUACAGGUGCACACCACCAUGCCUGGCUAAUUUUUGUAUUUUUAGUAGAGAUGAGGUUUCACGGUGUUGGCCAAGCUGGUCUCGAACUCCUGACCUCAAGUGAUCCACCUGCCUUGGCCUCCCGAAGUGCUGGGAUUUCUGGCGUGAGCCACCGCACCCAGCUCGGAGUGCGUUAUGACUAGAGGCAAAGACAGCAGCAUGAUCUUCAGCUUGCAAAUGAGACACAGAAUGACAAUGAAUCUUCACCGAAGUUAACUUGAACCUGGAUGGAUGAGUGGCCGGGUCGCCAAAAAGCUCCUCGGACCCUGCCAGAGUGUGAGCUCUGCCAGGAGGGCCGGGGCUCCAGGAUCCCAGGCUGGGCAGUCACUGGCUCCCCCAGGAAGGGCCACAUUCCGGUGGGCAGACAGAGGGUUGGGGAGGGUGGUGGGCAGCCAGCCGCCUGGAUCCCGGCCGGGGCACCGUCCCGCAGAGCUUGUCCCGCACAGACUCAGUUUCCUAACCCAGCAAGUGGGAGUCCACUGUGAGAAGUCCAGCCCUACGCAGAUGCGUGCGAAUCCCCUAAGAGCCAUGCCUGAGCCCUUGGCGGAAGCAGUUGGCUCCUCGUGUCAUGCAAAGGGCGGCAUUUUCAUUCCUAACAGGGAGGUGGCCCCGGAGCAUCCAGUUCAAAGGAGCUAGGAUGAUCCAGGGUCCUCUCACGUGGGCCUUGGUGAGUGGCCACACCCUCUGAGACCCCCUUUCAUCCCCAUAGAAAGGUCCUAGCAGGGCUGUGCCAGGGGGAUCCGCGGGUGGCAGGGUGGCCCCAUCUGCAGUGGGCCCAGGAGGAUAGCAACAGGACUUAGCAGUGGUGGGAUUGUAUUUCUGGGCCCUUCUUCCCCCACAGCCCACAGCCUCCUGACGGGACCCCUCCCCCCAGAACCUGAAGGACGGACCUCAGGUGUGGAGCUCCCUCACCAGACAGAGGGGAGGAGCCCAGGUCCAUCUCCUCAAAGGGACCCACCAGCCCCUCACGCGGCUGCACACAAGGCAGUCCCAGCCAGGCCCCAGGUUGAGGCAGACUCAGCCUAUGUCCUCAAGAGGCUCCCUGGAGAAGGCAGGACCCAGAAGCUUCUCUCUCGGCUGACAUGGCCUUUGCGGGCAGCCUUCCCACCCACAUCCCCAGCAUGAGCCCCAGCUCCUUGGAGCCCAGAGUCCAAGAAAUGGCCUUUCUGCCACUGACCCCUCCCGUGGAAUGGCUCCUCCCGAGCAGGGAACCUCUGCUGGGACCCGUCAGCUGCAAGAAGGCCCGUCCCCGAGAGAGCCCUGCAGGGCAAGGGGAGAGGGACCCCGGGGUAGGGGUGGAGAGCAGCUGAGGGGACAGACACAGAGAAGACCAGGCAGGGGCAUAGCCUGCUGAUGGGGGAUGCCAUCCUCUCGGUCACAGCUGAGCCAGGGCAGCCUCUAAGCUUCCUAAGUGGGGAAACCAAGGCAGAGAACCCCAGGACUGGGGCCACCGCUGUGGUCAGCCGGUUGGGGGUGGCCUGGGCCUCUCCAGUCUCCACUCUUCCAUCCAGCUUCAUGGGGAGCAACAUUUUUUUCACCUCAAGGCCAAAUUAGGAAGAACAAACAUGUUUUAUUUAUCAGUGUCACUUUUUUUUUUUUUUGUUUUAGAGACAGGGGUCUCACUAUGUUGCCCAGGUUGGACUUGAAUUCCUGGGCUCAAACAAUCCUCCUGCCUCAGCCUCCCAAGUUACUAGGACUACAGGUGCACCACUUAGUUACAUUUUUUUUAUACACGUGAAAACAGCUUUUUUGCUGGGCGCAGUGGCUCACGCCUGUAAUCCUAGCCCUUGGGGAGGCCGAGGCAGGUGGAUCACCUGAGGUCAGGAGUUCGAGACCAGCCUGGCCAACAUGGUGAAACCCCGUCUCUACUAAAAAUACAAAAAUUAGCUGGGUGUGAUGAUGGGAGCCUGUAGUCCCAUCUACUCAGGAGGCUGAGGCAGGAGAGUGGCAUGAACCAGGGAGGCGGAGGUGGCAGUGAGCCGAGAUCGCGCCAUUGCACUCCAGCCUGGGUGACAGAGUGAAACUCCAUCUCAAAAAAAAAAAAAAAAAAGAAAAGAAAAAGAAAGUAGUUUUUUUUCCCCCUAUGCUAAAAAUUCAAACAAAGCAAACAAGCAAAUUUUUAGAGAAGAAAAUUCCAUUGGCCACAAUCUGUAGCAGGGAGAGCUGUUUUUUUUGUUUUGUUUUUGUUUUUUUUUUGAGGCAGAGUCUUGCUCUGUCACCCAGACUGGAAUGCAGUGGUGCAAU